GGAAAAGAUUGACAUGUUUCUAGACAAAAGGUUUUUUUGACUGAGAAGACCCUUGUUUGGGCUUAAAAAAUGUGAUUAAUAAAUAAAUAACACAAGAUCAAUACUGGUUCCAAUCAUCAGACCUUUUUCAAAGAGAUGCUCUUGUAGUUCUUUUCAGUGUGCAACCAAGAUAUUGUAAUUAUUUUUGUAUUUUAGGAAUCAUGAUUCAUCCCCUAAAGAGCAUUGGAAUACGUAGUCCUAUGAGCCAGAAAUAUCAUAAAAACCCAAGAACUAUGUAUUUUGUUCACUAAAUUCUGCCUGAGAAAUAACAUUGGCACAGAUGGUUGACUGGUUUGUGGAGUAGCUUCAGACACGCAGUUAUAGCUGUCUGAAAGUGUAACAUAUUUUUUAAUGUUUUGUUUACUGUGGCGGAUGUAGCUAAAGAAAUGAGGGGUCAAUUGACCCCUCUUUU
rnacentral:misc_RNA from 1 species